GUGGGGUGUUCACUACAGGCACUAUCUCAGAAUCUGAGCUUGCCCAGGGUCCUCGAGUACUGCAGGAAGCCAGAUGCAAGGCCUCCGGAAAGAGGGAUACCUGAUUUUUUGUUUUCAAUUUUUUCAGACUCCCACAAGACUCCGCCUUGCUUACCUGACUGUUCCCAACUCCUGCUGUUACGUAUCUCAAGCUGGCCUUGAACUUACUACAUAGACCAAGGAUGUCUCACUCUGCAGCAGGCCUUCUGUUACCACACCCUGUUGUACUUAGUGCUGGGGAUCCAGGCAGUGCUAAAGCAAGCAAGAACUCGGCCAACUGAGCCGGCACAUUUUGCUGUGAAGGAGUCACAGCAGAGGGAAGGCUGUGCUUUCACUAGAGGAUGCUAUUUAUCCACCAGGUUUUUCUGGACCAGGUCUCUACCUGGAAGAGUAUGCUUGUGCUAAUUCCUGCAGAACCAACCUCCUGCCCAUGUAAUUCUCUAGACAGGUCUAAUGUGUCCCUGGCAUUUCUCCAAACAUAGAUAAAUUCUCAGCUGUGGAACCACAAGUAACUUCUGGGACCAGAGAAAAUAGGGACAGAAGCCAGAUGGGCUGCCAGCUGCCGGCUGCAGAAAAAUAGAAGAGUUAAAAUAAGGGCUGAGGGAGCAAGAAGGGGCAAGGACUGGACUUCGCUGCUGUCAUCUUUCAAUAUUUAGAAAUCUAAACUUAUUGCACCAGGAAGUGGUGGUAGAUGGCUUUAAUCCCAGCACUCAAAAGGCAGAGGCAGGA